UACGUAGGGUGCAAGCGUUGUCCGGAAUUAUUGGGCGUAAAGAGCUCGUAGGCGGUUUGUCGCGUCGAAUGUGAAAUCCCGGGGCUCAACCUCGGGUCUGCAUUCGAUACGGGCAGACUAGAGUUCGGUAGGGGAGACUGGAAUUCCUGGUGUAGCGGUGAAAUGCGCAGAUAUCAGGAGGAACACCGGUGGCGAAGGCGGGUCUCUGGGCCGAAACUGACGCUGAGGAGCGAAAGCGUGGGGAGCAAACAGG
rnacentral:rRNA from 1 species